rnacentral:rRNA from 1 species
UACGUAGGGUGCAAGCGUUAAUCGGAAUUACUGGGCGUAAAGCGCACGUAGGCGGCUUUGCAAGUCAGAGGUGAAAGCCCGGGGCUCAACCCCGGAAUUGCCUUUGAGACUGCAUCGCUUGAACAUCGGAGAGGUAAGUGGAAUUCCGAGUGUAGAGGUGAAAUUCGUAGAUAUUCGGAAGAACACCAGUGGCGAAGGCGACUUACUGGACGAUUGUUGACGCUGAGGUGCGAAAGCGUGGGGAGCAAACAGG